GUGCCGACCAUCUUUCCCGGAUUGACCGAGGUAGCGCUUCCGAACACCUCCGUUUCUGAUGUCAUAUUGGCAGAUCCUGAGAUGAUGGAGGAAGCAUAUGUAGAGAGCACCGCUUCAGUUCCGGGUGUGCAAACAAAGGGCGUUUCAGGAGGAAAUCAGACGUUCCUACCCAAUUCUAACGCCUCAACUCAGACAGGCCUGACACUUCCCCCUUCAAGCACACUUUCGCUGACCUCGGACAAACUCAUCGCCCAAGUGGUUAGUGGCAAGGAUGUGACGACAACAGGAGUGGUGGCAAUCGAUACGGAAGCGUCACUUCAUGACACAACUGUGGCAUCAAGUAGCGGUUUCUUGAACGCCAGGUGCUCUACUUUCCUUCCUCCACAACUUGACAUAACCCAGGAGUCUCAACGAUAUCUAUGCAGAUAUGCAACAAAGCAGUCACAUGCAUCUGUCUAUAACAGGCAUAACGUAGCUCUUUUUACUUGUCGUUCAUAUUUGAUGCUUUCAGUUUUCAGACCUCGCGAUGCUGUACGCAUAGUAAGUGCUAUUGCUACUAUAACUGUGCCACAAUUACUAUAUUUCUACCGUGCAGUUGCUACCACAUCCGGAAUGCUAACGUGCGGGUAGUAACGGCUACCGUUACUACCGGCAAAGGCACAACACGUGGCAAGCAGGGUUUUUUUUUUUUCUUGCGUGCUCCCUUUCCCUGGUAGAUCAGAUGAAAUCUAUUGUGAAUUGGCCACCAGUCUGUUGUUCUGUGCUGCAUGGGAGC